CAUAAGGAGUGAAUUUCAAACUAUAACUACAGAGAAGGACCUUCUGAACAAGAAUGCAGUCGCUUGGGAAAUAAACAAGAUUUGAUGCAUAAGCCAACAUAACACUUAGAAGCUUCUGCACAGGCUUCAUGGUUCCAGCUAAUGCAUCAAAUACAAUAAUGAAAAGGACUGGGCAUAGUGGACAGCACUGAUUAUUUUCAGAUUUGAUUGGGAUUGAUUCAAGUUCUUCUCCACUGAACCUGACGCUGCCCGUGGGUUUGUCAUAGAAACCUCCAUUCUAUUGAGGUACCAUAGGACUUUUAUCAAAAAAAGCAUGUUGGAUUUUAUCAAAGGCUUUUUCUACAUCUUUUAAGAUCAUCAUGUGAUCUUUGCCUUGA